UCUAGCAGCUGAAAAGCUGUUUUGUAAAUUUCUAAUUGACUAUAUUUACAAUGUAUGGAUCUCUGCAAAGGUGCGACAAAAGAAAACUGCAUUGGAUGCCUGGAAAUUAAUUAAUC